rnacentral:rRNA from 1 species
GACGAACGCUGUCGGCGUGCUUAACACAUGCAAGUCGAACGGAAAGGCCCUGCUUUUGUGGGGUGCUCGAGUGGCUAACGGGUGAGUAACACGUGAUUAACCUGCCCUUUACUUUGGGAUAACUUCAGGAAACUGGGGCUAAUACCGGAUAGGAGCUCCUGCUGCAUGGUGGGGUUUGGAAAGUUUCGGCGGUUGGGGAUGGACUCGCGGCUUAUCAGCUUUUUGGUGGGGUAGUGGCUUACCAAGGCUUUGACGGGUAGCCGGCCUGAGAGGGUGACCGGCCACAUUGGGACUGAGAUACGGCCCAGACUCCUACGGGAGGAAGCAGUGGGGAAUAUUGCACAAUGGGCGGAAGCCUGAUGCAGCAACGCAGCGUGCGGGAUGACGGCCUUAGGGUUGUAAACCGCUUUCGCCUGUGACGAAGAGGGAGUGACGGUAAUGGGUAAAGAAGCACCGGCUAACUACGUG